rnacentral:lncRNA from 1 species
UCGGACGCGCCGCUGCGCAGCUCCCCGGCGACCACGCCCUUGAGCUCGAGCUUGGACGUGACGUACACGUACCUCGCGCUGCCCGGGGCGUUGCCGUUGGCGGCCGCCGCGCGCGCCAGCGCGGGCAUCAUCAGCCUCGCCAGGUACGUGGGACCCAGCGUGUUGACCUGCCACGUUCGCUCUCUGCCCUGCUCCGCGACGCCGUACUCCUUGAACAUGGCCCCGGCGUUGUUCACCAGGAUGUCCACGAGCUCCUCCGGGCCGUUGAAGCCGUCCGCGAACUCCCGAACGGACGCCAGGCUGGCGAGGUCGAGCGUUCGGCACUCCACGUUGUCGUUGCCCGUCGAUGCGAUGAUGUCCCGAGCCGCCGCGGC